rnacentral:rRNA from 1 species
CCGACGGUGAGGGACGAAAGCUGGGGGAGCAAACCGGAUUAGAUACCCGGGUAGUCCCAGCUGUAAACGAUGCGCGUUAGGUGUGUCAGUGACCACGUGUCACUGAUGUGCCGAAGGGAAACCGCGAAACGCGCCGCCUGGGGAGUACGGUCGCAAGGCUGAAACUUAAAGGAAUUGGCGGGGGAGCACCACAGCGGGUGGAGCCUGCGGUUUAAUCGGACUCAACGCCGGAAAUCUCACCGGAUAA